rnacentral:ncRNA from 1 species
AUUUCAAGGUGCUUAUACACGUAAGAGAAUAGGGAAACCGGUGAAAAUCCGGUACGAACCCAUCACUGUAAGCAGAGACAACGCCCAUCAGGCCACUGAAAAUAUUCGGGAAGGCGGGCCGCGGAGGAUCUGUAAGUCAGGAGACCUGCCUUGAAAGCU